rnacentral:rRNA from 1 species
CGGCAGCACGGACUUCGGUCUGGUGGCGAGUGGCGAACGGGUGAGUAAUAUAUCGGAACGUGCCCAGUCGUGGGGGAUAACGUAGUGAAAAUUACGCUAAUACCGCAUACGAUCUAAGGAUGAAAGCGGGGGAUCGCAAGACCUCGCGCGAUUGGAGCGGCCGAUAUCAGAUUAGGUAGUUGGUGAGGUAAAGGCUCACCAAGCCAACGAUCUGUAGCUGGUCUGAGAGGACGACCAGCCACACUGGAACUGAGACACGGUCCAGACUCCUACGGGAGGCAGCAGUGGGGAAUUUUGGACAAUGGACGCAAGUCUGAUCCAGCCAUUCCGCGUGCAGGACGAAGGCCUUCGGGUUGUAAACUGCUUUUGUACAGAACGAAAAGGUCUCUAUUAAUACUAGGGGCUCAUGACGGUACUGUAAGAAUAAGCACCGGCUAACUACGUGCCAGCAGCCGCGGUAAUACGUAGGGUGCAAGCGUUAAUCGGAAUUACUGGGCGUAAAGCGUGCGCAGGCGGUUAUAUAAGACAGAUGUGAAAUCCCCGGGCUCAACCUGGGAACUGCAUUUGUGACUGUAUAGCUGGAGUGCGGCAGAGGGGGAUGGAAUUCCGCGUGUAGCAGUGAAAUGCGUAGAUAUGCGGAGGAACACCGAUGGCGAAGGCAAUCCCCUGGGCCUGCACUGACGCUCAUGCACGAAAGCGUGGGGAGCAAACAGGAUUAGGUACCCUGGUAGUCCACGCCCUAAACGAUGUCAACUGGUUGUUGGGUCUUCACUGACUCAGU